AUUGAACGCUGGCGGCGUGCCUAAUACAUGCAAGUAGAACGCAGUUGCGAACGGGUUAGUGACGCGUAGAUAACUGCCUGGUAGCGUGGGAUAACUAUUGGGAACGAUAGCUAAUACCGCCUCCUACCAGGUGGACCUGCGUUGUAUUAGCUAGUUGGUGGGGUCACGGCUCACCAAGGCAACGAUACAUAGCCGACCUGAGAAGGUGAUCGGCCAACCUGGGACUGGGGAAAGGGCCAGAAUUCCUAGGGAGGCAGCAGGAGGGAAGCUUUGGCAAUGGACGGAAGGUGGAACGAGCAAAGCCGGGGGAGGUAAGAAGGUUUUCGGAUCGUAAAGCUUUGUUGGAAGAGAAGCGGUAUCUGACCAGAAAGGGACGGCUAACUACGUGCCAGCAGCCGCGGUAAUAC
rnacentral:rRNA from 1 species